GGACAGAUGGCGGAGUGGUCGAUCGCGCACGCUUGGAAAGCGUGUGUACGUGCAAGCGUACCGAGGGUUCGAAUCCCUCUCUGUCCG
rfam:Asticcacaulis sp. AC466 contig00021, whole genome shotgun sequence.